AAGUCGUGACAGGUGUAACCGAGAAUUGCUCCUGGAUUCAGCGGCGGACGGGUGAGUAAUGCCUAGGAAUCUGCCUGGUAGUGGGGGAUAACGUCCGGAAACGGGCGCUAAUACCGCAUACGUCCUGAGGGAGAAAGUGGGGGAUCUUCGGACCUCACGCUAUCAGAUGAGCCUAGGUCGGAUUAGCUAGUUGGUGGGGUAAAGGCCUACCAAGGCGACGAUCCGUAACUGGUCUGAGAGGAUGAUCAGUCACACUGGAACUGAGACACGGUCCAGACUCCUACGGGAGGCAGCAGUGGGGAAUAUUGGACAAUGGGCGAAAGCCUGAUCCAGCCAUGCCGCGUGUGUGAAGAAGGUCUUCGGAUUGUAAAGCACUUUAAGUUGGGAGGAAGGGCAGUAAGUUAAUACCUUGCUGUUUUGACGUUACCAACAGAAUAAGCACCGGCUAACUUCGUGCCAGCAGCCGCGGUAAUACGAAAGGGUGCAAGCGUUAUUCGGAAUUACU
rnacentral:rRNA from 1 species